GUGUGCCUACGGGAGGCAGCAGUGAGGAAUAUUGGUCAAUGGACGCAAGUCUGAACCAGCCAUGCCGCGUGCAGGAUGACGGCUCUAUGAGUUGUAAACUGCUUUUGUACGAGGGUAAUAUCGGAUACGUGUAUCUGCUUGAAAGUAUCGUACGAAUAAGGAUCGGCUAACUCCGUGCCAGCAGCCGCGGUAAUACGGAGGAUGCGAGCGUUAUCCGGAUUUAUUGGGUUUAAAGGGUGCGCAGGCGGCGAGUUAAGUCAGCGGUAAAAUUUCGGGGCUCAACCCCGACGAGCCGUUGAAACUGG
rnacentral:rRNA from 1 species